GACGAACGCUGGCGGCGUGCCUAAUACAUGCAAGUCGAGCGGAUCUUCAAAGGAGCUUGCUCCUGCGAAGGUUAGCGGCGGACGGGUGAGUAACACGUAGGCAACCUGCCUGCAAGACCGGGAUAACAUUCGGAAACGAAUGCUAAGACCGGAUACGCAAGCUUGAGGCAUCUCGAGCUUGGGAAACACGGAGCAAUCUGUGGCUUGCGGAUGGGCCUGCGGCGCAUUAGCUAGUUGGUGGGGUAACGGCUCACCAAGGCGACGAUGCGUAGCCGACCUGAGAGGGUGAACGGCCACACUGGGACUGAGACACGGCCCAGACCCCUACGGGAGGCAGCAGUAGGGAAUCUUCCACAAUGGGCGCAAGCCUGAUGGAGCAACGCCGCGUGAGUGAGGAAGGCCUUCGGGUCGUAAAGCUCUGUUGCCAGGGAAGAAUAAGGGCUAGUUAACUGCUAGUCCGAUGACGGUACCUGAGAAGAAAGCCCCGGCUAACUACGUGCCAGCCGCCGCAGUAA
rnacentral:rRNA from 1 species